rnacentral:rRNA from 1 species
GACGAACGCUGGCGGCGUGCCUAACACAUGCAAGUAGAACGCUGAAGCCUGGUGCUUGCACCGAGCGGAUGAGUUGCGAACGGGUGAGUAACGCGUAGGUAACCUGCCUGGUAGCGGGGGAUAACUAUUGGAAACGAUAGCUAAUACCGCAUAAGAGUAGAUGUUGCAUGACAUUUGCUUAAAAGGUGCAAUUUCAUCACUACCAGACGGACCUGCGUUGUAUUAGCUAGUUGGUGAGGUAACGGCUCACUAAGGCAACGAUACAUAGCCGACCUGAGAGGAUGAGCGGCCACCCUGGGAGUGGGACACGGCCCAGACUCCUACGGGAGGCAGCCGUAGGGAAUCUUCGGCAAUGGACGGAAAUCUGACCAAGCAACGCCGCGUGAGUGAAGAAGGUUUUCGGGUCGUAAAGGUCUGUUGUAAGAGAAGAACGAGUGUGAGCGUGGAAAGUUCACACUGUGACGGUAUCUUACCAAAAAGCAACGGCUAACUACGUG